GACGAACGCUGGCGGCGUGCUUAACACAUGCAAGUCGAACGGAAAGGCCCUGCUUUUGUGGGGUUCUCGAGUGGCGAACGGGUGAGUAACACGUGAGUAACCUGCCCUUGACUUUGGGAUAACUUCAGGAAACUGGGGCUAAUACCGGAUAGGAGCUCCUGCUGCAUGGUGGGGGGUGGAAAGUUUCGGCGGUUGGGGAUGGACUCGCGGCUUAUGAGCUUGUUGGUGGGGUAGUUGCUUGCCAAGGCUUUGACGGGUAGCCGGCCUGAGAGGGUGACCGGCGACAUUGGUACUGAGAUAGGGACCAGAGUCGUAUGGGAGGCAGCAGUGGGGAAUAUUGCCCAGUGGGCGGAAGCCUGAUGAGGCAACGCCGGGUGCGGGAUGACGGCCUUCGGGGUGUAAACCGCUUUCGCCUGUGACGAAGCGUGAGUGACGGUAAUGGAUAAAGAAGCACCGGCUAACUACGUG
rnacentral:rRNA from 1 species